AGUGAACGCUGGCGGUAGGCCUAACACAUGCAAGUCGAACGGCAGCACAGUCAGAGCUUGCUCUUACGGGUGGCGAGUGGCGGACGGGUGAGGAAUACAUCGGAAUCUACUUUUUCGUGGGGGAUAACGUAGGGAAACUUACGCUAAUACCGCAUACGACCUACGGGUGAAAGCAGGGGAUCUUCGGACCUUGCGCGAUUGAAUGAGCCGAUGUCGGAUUAGCUAGUUGGCGGGGUAAAGGCCCACCAAGGCGACGAUCCGUAGCUGGUCUGAGAGGAUGAUCAGCCACACGGGAAAUGAGCGACGGCCCAGACUCCUACGGGAGGGAGCGGAGGGGAGUAUUAGACAAUGGGCGGAAGCAUGAUCCAACCAUGCCGCGUGGGUGAAGAAGGCCUUCGGUUUGGAAAUCCCUUUUGUUGGGAAAGAAAAGCAGCAGGUGAAUACCCCGCUGUUCUGACGGUACCAAAAGAAUAAGCACCGGCUAACUUCGUG
rnacentral:rRNA from 1 species